rnacentral:rRNA from 1 species
AUUGAACGCUGGCGGCAGGCCUAACACAUGCAAGUCGAACGGUAACAGGAAGAAGCUUGCUUCUUUGCUGACGAGUGGCGGACGGGUGAGUAAUGUCUGGGAAACUGCCUGAUGGAGGGGGAUAACUACUGGAAACGGUAGCUAAUACCGCAUAACGUCGCAAGACCAAAGAGGGGGACCUUCGGGCCUCUUGCCAUCGGAUGUGCCCAGAUGGGAUUAGCUAGUAGGUGGGGUAACGGCUCAGCUAGGCGACGAUCCCUAGCUGAUGUGAGCGGAUGACCUGCCACACUGGAACUGAGAGACGGUCCAGGCUCAUACGGGAGGCAGCAGUGGGGAAUAUUGCGCAAUGGGGGCAAGCAUGGUGCAACGCUGGCGCGUGUAUGAAGGAGGGCGUAUGGGUGUAAAGUAAGUUCAGCGGGGCGGAAGGGAGUAAAGGUAAUACGGUGGGUCAUUGACGUUACCCGAAGAAGAAGCACCGGCUAACUACGUG